AUCUAGCUGACGAGUCUCAAAUAAGACAAAACUCGCAUUCUAGAU
rnacentral:hammerhead_ribozyme from 1 species